rnacentral:rRNA from 1 species
GAAGAACCUUACCUUCCUUUCCAGGUCUGGAAUUCCGAAGAGAUUUGGACUUGCGGGCAAGAGAACCGGAACACAGAUGCUGCAUGGCCGUCGUCAGCUCGGAUCGUGAGAUGAUGGGUUAAAUCCGGCAACGACCGCUACCCUUGUCACUAGUUGUUACGAAAGGGAACUCUAAUGAGACUGCCGGUGACAAACCGGAGGAAGGUGGGGAUGACGUCAAGUCCUCAUGGCCCUUACGGGUAGGCUUCCACACUUCAUCAAAUGGACGGAACAAAGGGUCCACAACGGGCGAGGGGAAGCAAAUCCCAGAAACCCGAUCGUAGUCCGGAUGGCAGUCGCCAACUGGCUUCCGGGAAGUCGGAAUCGCUAGAAAUCGCGGAUCAGCAUGAUGCGGGAAUA